GUCCCUGUGGCUCAGUUGGUAGAGCAUGGUGUGUGCAACACCAGGGUUGUGGGUUCGAUUCCCACGGGGGGCC
rfam:Salmo salar isolate Sally breed double haploid chromosome ssa03, whole genome shotgun sequence.